UACGGAGGGUGCAAGCGUUGUCCGGAAUCACUGGGCGUAAAGGGCGCGUAGGCGGAUCGUUAAGUCGGGGGUGAAAUCCUGGAGCUCAACUCCAGAACUGCCUUCGAUACUGGCGAUCUUGAGUCCGGAAGAGGUGAGUGGAACUCCUAGUGUAGAGGUGGAAUUCGUAGAUAUUAGGAAGAACACCAGUGGCGAAAGCGGCUCACUGGUCCGGUACUGACGCUGAGGUGCGAAAGCGUGGGGAGCAAACAGGG
rnacentral:rRNA from 1 species